CAAAGAGUAGUUUAAUAUAAAAUACUGGUUUUGGGGGCCAGAGAUGGGAAUUCUCUCUUUGA
rnacentral:tRNA from 2 species